rnacentral:rRNA from 1 species
AACGAACGCUGGCGGCAGGCUUAACACAUGCAAGUCGAACGCAUCCUUCGGGGUGAGUGGCAGACGGGUGAGUAACGCGCGGGAACGUGCCCUUCAGUUCGGGAUAACCCAGGGAAACUUGGGCUAAUACCGGAUACGAGCGAGAGCAGAAAGAUUUAUCGCUGAAGGAUCGGCCCGCGUCUGAUUAGCUAGUUGGUGGGGUAAUGGCCCACCAAGGCGACGAUCAGUAGCUGGUCUGAGAGGAUGAUCAGCCACAUUGGGACUGAGACACGGCCCAAACUCCUACGGGAGGCAGCAGUGGGGAAUAUUGGACAAUGGGCGCAAGCCUGAUCCAGCCAUGCCGCGUGAGUGAUGAAGGCCUUAGGGUUGUAAAGCUCUUUCGUCCGGGACGAUAAUGACGGUACCGGAAGAAGAAGCCCCGGCUAACUUCGUGCCAGCCGCCGCAGUAA